GCUCGCCACGGCGCCCUCCCCCUAGCCGGCGGCGCCCUACCCUUGGCGGCCAGUGCCUCCGCCGCCGCUCCCUCCACCUGGCCGGCGGCGUCUUUCACCCGGUGAGCAGCGGUGCGCGACGGGCCUGGGAGCGUUGGCUAGCGAUCUACUCCUCGGCGUCGGCAGCUCUCUCCUUCUGCGAGCGGCAACGGGCGGCGGUGCCUCUCCGCCCCUUGUCUCGUCUCCCUCGCCAUGAGGCCACGGGAGGGCUCGACGGUGGUGGGCGGCCGCCAACAACAAGGUGAACUGGCUUCGCUUUCGGCGCCUACCUGUCUCCAUCAUCGCCAAGCCAAGUGUGGAGGUCGACGGCACACUCGAGUCCCGACUCAUCCUCCUUCGCAAGGGUGCGCGACAGCUAAGCACCCGCGACCUCUGCGAGGAGUUCUGCCUUUAUCGGAUCUCUCCACUUGUCCGCGAAUAGGGGGCGUCCGUUAACAAGGACGAAGAGGUGCUCGGGCUUCCCCGCCUCGUUCUUCCUUCCGGUGCCGAACUCCGCACAUUGGAAGAUGCUGAGGCAGAGGCGGCGAAGAUGGUCGGAGGCCUGACCACUGCCGAAUUCGACCGCUUGCUCCAACGUCAAGCCGAUGGGAGGGCGAACCGCGUUCAUGUCGGCGAGUUUACUAGUCGAUCGAUCAUUUCCAAAGCCGCCGACGACGACGUUGGGACAUCGAAGAAGCGCAAGCGAGCCGUUGCGAAGGGUGGCCAGGUGCAAACUCGUCGCGCCACCAAGGACGCGCCCAACACCGACGCGGACGAGGAGGAUGACGACGAAAGAGAGGCCGGGUCUAACGAAGAGGGCGGAUCGCACGGCUACACCCCCAGUCCAGUCCAGGCGAAGGCUGGAGCGAGCUCUGAUGUUUCGCCCGUACGUGCACAAGAUGUUGCUGGCACGAACAUGCUUUUGGCUAUUUCGAUCUUCGCGGCGAAACAAGGGGCGAUCGCCAGAAAUAAGAAGGGAGGGGUGGUGCAAGUCGCUGGUGGCUUUACCGACAGCGAGGGGUCGUCUGACGGGACGCCUACUUCGCCGGCGCUGUGACGCAUUGGCCCCCGGAGGAGGCGCCCGUCGCCGCCCCCUGCCAGCGAUGCUGAAGCGCCGACUAGGGGCAGUGCUUCGGCUCCUGCCGCUGCUUCGAUCGGGGCGAUCAAGUCAGCGGAGGCGAAUACCACCAAGGCCGAGAGAGUCGAAACGGUUCCUUCGACGAGUCAUCAGCGGGAGGGGAAGGCGCCGUCGGUUGAGAUGACCGUGUCUGAUAUGACACUGACCGCCCGCACUUUGUUUCCGCGGAUUUCGCCUCUCGGCCAGAGAUCGCCACUUUCGUAGAUGGGGUGUAUCGGAUUGUUGCGCCGUCCGACGGCCUUGGUCUCUUUACCGAACUCAAGGAAUUUGGUGAGAGUUGCACGGCUGCGGAGAGCUUAUUCGUGCAGGGUCUCGCGGCGCACCUGAGCGCGAAACGGUCUGCCUUGGAGAGGCUAGACGGGUACUGGCUUCACCUUCGGAAGACCGAAGAGGACCUCCGCCACAAGGAAGACGAACGCCGUGUCGUGCCGGACGCCUUGAAAAAGGCGAACGCGGAGAACAAUUCUCUUACAGGGGAAAACAAAUCUCUCCGCACCGACCUGGAGGGGGCGAACAAGAGGGCCGUCGAACGGGAACGCCAACUUGCUGCGGCCGAGUAAAAGAUUAAGUCUCUUUAGACCCAGCUUGUCUCGGCCGAAGCUGUUGAUGAGACUUUGGCGCCAGCGACGGAGUCCGCCAAGCAAGCCUGCAACACUCUUAGGCUAGCUCUCAACGACCUUGGUGCGCGCGCGGAGGGCGCUUCGGGUGACGACGGGACGGUGUUCGAUUUUUUCGAGUGGACGCAAGAUGCGGUCGGCUCAGUUGUCGAAGUGGCUGGCGCGUACGGCGAUUGCUGUGUGCAAGUUGCCGCGGUUUUCGUGCUCAGCCUCCUUCACGAACAUGGUUGUGACCAUGUUGAUGAUUUUCCUCAAAUCGUGAAGAAUGAUUGGCCCGAAAAUGAUCAAUCCGCCGCGUCAGCCGUGAAGGCCUUUCGGAAGGGCUUCUAGGAGAACGGUGGUAGGGAUGGGGCGAAGACCCAGCUGCUGCCGACGCUGGCUAAAGGUCCCAGACCGUCGGAGGCAACUACCGGUCAUGAGGGUGAAGGCAAUGAAAGCCGAGACCACCCUGAGGUGUGAGGCCCUUCGUCCUCGCGUUUUUGUUUUCUAGACUUUUGUAGUCGUAGUUUGUUUAUAAGUAUUUUGCAUGUUCGGAUAGUUGCCGUAACCAUCUUGUAGCCGCUGUGGAAAGUUUGUAUUUCGCCAACUGUCCGUCUUUAUUGCAAUACGUGAUUGAUUUGGUUAGCGUAUUUUUCCUUUUCGUUGUACUUUAUGUCUUAUUGGCAGGGUCUUAGCCGAAAGUCGUGCGUUCGGCCCCCCUUUGGAGAUUGGCAAAAUAAGAAUGAGAAGUUCGUGGCGAUGAAGGGCUUGCCGAAGAUCAAGUGUCCGUUUCGACCCGUUUUACCGCGAGAUGUUGAUAAACGGCAAUAGCUAUAAGGUUAUCAAGGUAGCGGGAUGGAUGCGUGCGUAUCCAGGGCGAACCUUGGAGGACUACGACCGCUACCAUGUCGCUCGCCGUGAGGAUAGCACCAAUUUCUGGCGAAACUUCAAUAGGUCGAGUCGCCAAGAGGCGAUCGCCCAUCGCCGUUAUAGCUUAGUUUGUGCUUGGCCCCCGUCGCCUUUAAGGGUUGUAUACGAUAUUAGUAGUGACGACGAACCUUGUACGCCGGUUUGUAACGUAGACGAGGGCGAAUGUAUGAAUGAUGAUGUAAUUUUUUUUAUGUUUGUUCACGUAAAUAGAACAUAUUUUUGAUUUCGUUUUCCUGAUAUUUCGUGAGUUUUCAUACAUAUCUUCAUGCUAUUGUUCGCAUAGUCAGUUAGUCACUAUCAUGCUUUUGUUAGGUCGAAACGUGUCGGCCCCUUAGCGUUCUAUAGCGAGGAGAUAUGUUUAUUUCUCAGCUCUCUUCUUCCGUUUUCGGCUCAUGGAAGGCGUGCUAUGAAGCAUCGUGGCCUAUGCGUAAGCCGAGUACAACGGCGUUUUGACUUGUAUAUUCAAAAUUCGAGCUGUUGCAGUUUCGCUAUUUAGUGAGCUAUGCUUCGACCGAUUCGUUUUGCCCCCCUGGCUCGUUCGCUGAUUAGGCGUUUGCCUUGGGAUUUUUCCAUGAAGACAUCACUCACAAAAAAGGAAAGUAAGAAGACAUAGAGAUUUUUAUACUGGUUCAGGCCUCCAAGGUGGAUAAUAACCCUAUGUCCAGUUUUUUUUCUUUUUCCAUUUUCCUCUUUUUUUUUCUUUUUUGUGCCGAACGGCUUACAUAAUAUGUACAUUUUUACAAUUGGCGAAUAUGGUGCCACCAUUUUACACAUAAAAGCGUCUAAGGGAAACGACAUUCUAGGAGUGGUCGAACUCUUCGCCCUCCAAUGUUACCAGCUGAAAAGAACCCGUUCGAGA